rnacentral:RNase_P_RNA from 1 species
AGGGGGCCUGAGGCAGCCGCGUGUCCUUUAGGGGGCGCGAGGAAAGUCCGGGCUCCACGAAACAAGGGUGGCGGGUAACGCCCGCCGGCGUCCUUUCGGGGGCGCAAGGGAAAGUGCCACAGAGAGCAAACCGCCGAUGGCGUCUGCCGAAAGGCGACGGACAGGCAAGGGUGAAAGGGUGCGGUAAGAGCGCACCGGGGGGCUGGCAACAGCAACCGCAUGGCAAACCCCACCCGGAGCAAGGCCGAAUAGGGGCCGCGCGCCCGUCAGCAAUGGCAGGGUAGGGGAGUUUCGCCCCGAGCGGCCCGGGUUGGCUGCUAGAGCGCCGGAGCAAUCCGGCGAGCAGAUGAAUGGCUGCCACCGUGCGGCAGGUCCCCUGGGGAUACCGUGCGCGGAGACAGAACCCGGCUUAUGAUGGCCCCCUGAUA